CUCUCAGGCCUGUUGGAAUGUCACUUCAUCCACGCAGCCUUUCUGGACCACCUCUCUAGGAAGGCGUGCCCCUCCCUCCCACCUGAUCCUUCGGCCCUUUGCCUUGUUUUAUUCUGCCUCGGGGAAUCUUAGGACUGCCUGCCCCGUGCUGUACACUCAUCUGUGUCUUUGCCUAUUGUCUUCUCAAUCAGACUUUCUCUGAAAUCCCCAGCAUGGAAACCAGGCACAACACAAAGUAGAUACUCAAUGAGUAUUUGCUGAAAGAACGGAAGAUGAAAGCAACACCUGGUGUGGGUUGUGAUGGUUCUACAGAAUGACUUGGACAAGGGGGCUCCCAGAGAAAAGGAGAAGAGAGGAAGAGCUGAGCUGCUCAGGUCCCAUCCAUUCACAUCCGACUCACCACUCUGUAUCUCAUUCCACCUCCUUGGGGAGGAAGAUGGGGUGGGGAAAGAAGAGUGGGGAGAAGCCCUCCCUCCCACAAUGUAUGUUGUUUCAUCUUGUUUCAGACUCAUGCUUGUAUGAUUUUUGUCUUUAUCCUUAUAAUUUGAGUUUUGCCAGAAUGUGCCUGGAAAUGGUGCCCCUUUCAUUAAUUUUGCCUGAAAUAUGAUAUAAUAUCUCUACGUGCUCCCUACAUCUUCUCCAAUUCCAUGAAGAUGUCUUAUUUCUUAUAUUCUUAUGUCUGAUUUCAUUAUAGAUUUUCUUGUUCUGCAUUCUGGGAGAGCUUCUCAAAUUCAUACUCAGGCCAUUGAUCAGGAAUCAGUCAUUAAUCUGCAAUGAUGAUUGUGUUCUUUUUGGCCUCAUGGCUGAAUUUUAAUUCUGCAACUGCAACUUUCAUUUCCUUUCAAUACUUCUUUGUCUCCUCAGUCCCAUCUCCAGGUCAGGGUUGUGUCUCAAGACAAUUCUCUUUCAACCUCAACCCCUUCUCUCCUAGGAUGUUCUAUUCUUCUUCUCCUUGGGCCAUGUCUUCUGGCUUUGUCUUCUAAACUUUUCUUCUGGUUCCUAGAGUAAAUCAUUUUCAGAAGCACGUAUUUCCCCUGAAUAUUAUGGAUGUUUCAUUCAUUCAUUCAACAAUGCAAUUUAUUGACUGCCCAUCCAGGGCUGAGCACUGAAUUAGUCUCAGGAGCAGCCCAGAGCCAGCAAGUCCCUGUCCCCAUAGAUGAUAGAAUCAAAUGGGGAAAUUAGGCAAUUAUACAGGUAAUUUUAAUUAAGUGUGACAAGUGCCAUAAAUAAGAUGUGGGCAGGGUUAUAGCACAGUGUAUAGUAUGAGCACACAACCGUGGCUGGGCAGAGAGGGAGUGGGUAGGUAGAGGUUGCUACCUGCUCUUAUGCUGAGCUGUUGCUUUUUCUUAAUACUCAUGUUUUUGAAUUUGGGUCCCUCCACCCCCAUCUUUGGUCACUGUCAAUGGCUUCUUGUGUGAUGACAGUUGGGAUGUUGAGUUCCCCAUGUACUUCCUCUCACUGUCUAUUUGGGUGUCAUGCCAAUCCCCCUUCAGGUCAAUAGGCAGGUGACAUGUUGAUGUACACAGCCUCUGGUCCAAUCUCCAGUGUGGCAAGGCAGGUCCUUUCGUGCCUAGCUGCCAACAUUAGGUGUAAUAGUCUAUCCCCACUGCCUUACUUCUGACCUCCUGAACCAAUCUGUAAUGUCCAAGCAAAACCAAAAUCUCCAGGAAGCAUUGUUUUUUGCACCCUUCAGGAGUAAAUAUGUCCAGAGUGGACAAUUUAAUUCUAAAAUGUGACCCCUUUCAGUACAAAUUAAAAUGCAUUCGGUGCAGCAUUUAUGGGAAACUAUGGAAGGCAUAUUGCAUUUCCAGUGCUCUCUGGUCAUUGGGAGAGAUAGCCUGGGUGAUGUGGGGAGGUAGAGAAUUCUGGGAACUUCCCCCACAGCUGACCCACUAGAAUGUGGAGCACAGAGAGCACCAGUGAAUCUGAUUCUAAGGAAGGAAAAACAAAAAUUCAUUUCUCAAAGGAAAGAAGAAGAAAUGAAACUCAGGCUAGUGGAGAAAGAGAAUACAGCAAGGUUUCAAGGAGUUCAGAUAAAUAUUUAAACUUGGAAGGCAUUAUGAGUCUCCCAGAACGGUAUGCAUCAUUAAUUCCCAGGCAGUCAGGUUAACAAUGAGCUGCUAAAGAGAUGACCUCUUGAAUUAUUCUUUUAAUGGAUUUCCCAGGUUAAAGUAGAUUUCAUUGAAGGUCAAUCAAUAGACAAUUUUACCCAGGCCUGGUGAUUAAAAGAAAACCAUAAAGAAAUCCUGUGACAGUAAUCAUUUUGGCUCAAUCAGACCUUCCUUUCAACCUGAAAAGCCCUAGAUGAAGGCCACAGCAUGGAUUAGGGCAGGGGCUCCUGGUUCUAUUUUCCAUUAAUCCCCUCAUCCUGAGUGAGUUUUAACUACCCCUGCCCCUUUAGCCAGAUGGCUCACUCCACACCCCCAGGCAAAGAGAAGAAAUUCAUGCUCCUUUCCUUUCUGGUAGAUGAGGCACACUGGAAUAAUUUAAAUUAACAGUGUAGAUCUAGCUUAUUUCUUGAAUUCCCAAUGAUUGGUCACAGUGAAUUAGCAUGAGUCAGAAUUUUAGUUUGACAGAAGUGAUUAUAUUAGGAUCCCUGUGAGUCUCUGGGUCUCUCCAACUCUCCUUCUUUAUUAGAAGUAGCCUCGGGAAAUCAGGAGGAAAUGAGAUGCCCAGGAACAUGUAUCUCAGUGAUCCACCAUUGACUUGGUUAGGAAAUUUGGGGUAGAGGAGGGCUUCUCGAAAAUGAAAUUGCCUUCAGGUCUUGCCAGUUGAUGCAAAAUGCAUCGAGGAAUUAUAACAUUGGAAGGAAAGGGGGCUUUCCUUUCUCCAUCAUUUAUCAUCAGGGAGUCAGUGGAACCAACGUUCUUUCUUUGAAAGGUGGGUCUUUAAGAGUGAAAUAUUGAAUCUUUCUUUCCUUUUUCUUUCUUUUCUUAAUAGUCCACGACUUUUUCUAAAAGUGUGUUUUACCUGAUCCAGCAUUUUGAGUUUAUUAGACAGGAUUUUUCCAAGGCUUGCUAUUUAUUUUCACAGUCUCGCUUUUCACCGAUUCAAGACAAUGAAGAAGAAAGAUCCUUGUUGCCAUGUGGUUAUUUUGAAUAAAUUAGGCUUUAAAGGGGCUGCUGGUUUUCAGUUCACACACACAAUCGAACUCUGCUGUAGUUUCCAUAUUUAUAAAAAAUCCCUGCUGUGAAGCUAACAAGGAAAAAGCCUCUGAAUCUCUUCUUUCUGCUUAUCAAGAAUCAAAAUAGAAACAAGGAAUGUUUGAAAUAAUACAGAAAUGGCACUGAGGAAUGUGAACAUUCUGGGGGGAAGGGAAUAACUUAUGUGUUGUUGGGGGUGCUUGUGCAUGCGAAUAUAAAAAUUGAUAUUCAUAGACUCGUUAACCACAGUGUUAGGGGGCUAGAGAUUUGAUUUAAUCCUUGAUAUUUUUAUUUUCAUAAAGGCCAGAGAAAAAAGGUGUUUCCUUUGGAGACAAGAAUAGCUUCUUGAAAGACUUUAGUUAUUAUUGCUGUUGAAAAGCUCUGAAGCAGCUCGGCAGCGACUCUAAGAAUACUACUGGGCUCUCUCAGUCACACUGAAGCAUCUUUUCUGAGUUGAGACAUAGGUGAAAAUGUGUGCGCGCCUACAUGCAAAGCGUGAUAUUCACAUGUACAUUCUUAAACAUGUAGCAUCAGCAUUUGAAAGGCUUACCAAAAAAAGAAAAAAAAAAAGCUGGAAUUCAAACCCAGAAACCAGGAAGCAGCUGCAGAAAUACCUAGGUGUGACUCUACAGAGAUUCUGGCUCCCUUUCCAGAUGCAUUGAUCUUAGAACUUGACAACUGAGAAAUGGAUCUUUACCAUUCUUUUUGCCUAAAGUAUUAUAUAUACUUGAAUGCAACAUUGUGUUUUAUUUUCCAACUCUGCCAAGAUUCAAUCUACUGGUAUUGAAUAUCCACCAAAAGAAUGCUAGACUAUUACAAAGCAUGCACAAAAGAGGUACAGAAAACCCAUACGCCUUAUUCUCUCUCCAACUCUGAUAGCGAUAAAACACCGACUUCACCCUUUACACUCAGAGAUUCUGACUAAUAAGCAGAGACAGAUAGGAGAAAGUGAAAUUGAAUCUCAAUUAUAAGAGAUAUAAGAGAAUGACUGUUUUUAUUGCAGUUGUAGAGUUUGGUCUUUUCUAUGCUUUACUUAAUUCUGUUACUAAAAAAAAAAAAAAAAAAAAAAAAAAAAGAUCUUUUUUGUUUAAAUUCAGCUGCAAGAGCCUAAAGAGGUUUGAAUAGUGGCAAACUGUAAUAAAUCAUUUUAAAAGGGAAAAGAUUUCACAAAAGUAAAUCAGAGUCAUUUCCCUACCUUAGAACUUGAGUUUCCAUUACUUCCAGGAGGUUUUCAACUUCAGGAUGAAUAGAGUCACCAGAAGAAUAAUUUAUUUCAGUUUAAAGUUGGCCAUAUGAAUGAGUAUGGAAUUUGAAACAGAGUAAAAUAAUAGGACAUUUAAUACUGCUUGUCAAAGACUACUUACCCAUUCAGCCUAUGAAGAUAUAUACUUGGAGAACCAGAUUGUCAACAGAAUUAAGAAUCUGGAAGACUUAGAGGGUUAGGGCUUGGCUUCCAAUACAGCCACCCGAUCAACAUAUUGACUAUUGCUUGGCCCUUUGGGAACUAUUGGGUGGCUGAUCCAAUUUGAGAUGGAAAAAAAAAAAGAGGAAGAAGAAGAAUCUUCAAUGUAGAAGAAAAGGCAGAGUGACAAAAACCCAUCAUUAGAAAGAAGUCAUGUUAAUUCCUUGCCCAUGGUCUCGUAACAUAUUUUAAUGACUUCCUAUGCCUUCUGGUUAAAACUCAAGCUUUGCAGCCUGGCACCAAUUUCUAUCCGGUUUCCCUUGCCUGUACUUUUACAAGCUGCUUCUCCUUCACCUCAUUCGUAUUCAAUGUCUGGGACUCAGUUCAAGGCUCUUACUUUGGAAACGUUCCCUGACUUUGCUCACUGAUCCCUUCUCCAGUUUUCUUCUUUCACAUUACCAUAGCACCUUGAAUUUACAAGGCACAAAAUCCAUGGCUCGUCAGUGUUCUUUUAUGCCUCUACUCCAUCAUAAGCUCCUAGCUCAAAGGACUCGUUCCUCCACCUCCUAUUGGUAGCACUGUGCCAGGUCGUGUCCACUCACCACUGCAGACCCUUUCUCCAGCCUUCUCCUGCCUGCUCUGUGCCCCAGGGUGAAGCCACAGGCAGGCAGUGCUCUCUGGCUUCUAGCUGGGAAGAUGCCAAAGAAAACUGGAGGGUAGGCCAGGCACGAUGGCUCAUGCCUAUAAUCCCAGCACUUUGGGAGGCCGAGGCAGGUGGAUCACUUGGGGUCAGGGGUUUGAGACCAGCCUGGCCAACAUGGUGAAACCCCAUCUCUACUAAAAUUACAAAAAUUAGCUGGGUGUGGUGGUGGGUGCCUGUAAUCCCAGCUACUUGGUGGGCUGAGGCAGGAGAGUCACUUGAGCCCUGGAGGCGGAGGUUGCAGUGAGCUGAGAUCAGGCCACUGCACUCCAGCCUGGGCGACAGAGCAAGACUCUGUCUCAAAAUAAAAAAAAUAAAAUAAAGGAAAAAGAAAAAAAAUGGAGAGUGGAGGGUGGGAAGAGAUAGGAGUCUGGGUACUUAUUCUCCUGGGUCCCUCCCUCCAAGCCAUGGGUUGGCCAAGGCAGCAAGCCCCUGUCUAAGUAGCCUCUUCGCUACAGUGACAGUUCCCCAGGUUCUAGAACCCCUUCUUCCCCUUCCUGUUCAGGCCUGGGGACCUGGGGACAGUAACAGCUUCCCACUCUUGCCUGUCCUCGGUGCUUUGUCAUCCUUUAUUGAUUUUCUUAACCCUGCAGCAGCAUGGUAAACAGUUCCCUCGUUAAACCCUCCUCAAUUAACCUUAUUGACGGUACCAUUGCUUUUCUGCCAAGAUCCUAACCAAUGCAUUGCCAAGCAGAAUCCCCAGCAAAUCUAGGAAUCUGUAAAUAUUUGGUGAGUGUGUUUAUAAAACUAAGAUCAUGCCAAAGUGGACAUCGGGUGACUGGAGUUCUGAUGCUAGCUCUAGCUCAGGCAAGUCGUGUGAGUUCAGGCAAUGCUAAAAGCCCCCACCUCUCAACUUUUCCCAAACAUAAAAGAAAGCUUAGAUGCAGAGACCGCUUCUACAAUCCCCAUCACUGCUAAGUGCACUUCUCUUGCACAUCUCACUUUUUGGGGUGGAUGCUCACUUCUCUCCCCCACCCAAGUCUUAGAUAGGGAGAAGGCUGCCUUGAGGCUCUGCCAUGGGAUCGAUUCCUCCUAAGCUAGAAGAUAUUGAUCCCGUGACAAUUGCUGUCCUGCCUUUCUUUCUGGGAGGAGCUGGCUGUGGGCGCCAGGAUUGUGCAAAAGGGAGGUGUUUCUGAAUAACAAUGGUGCAUUGUCUCAUUAUCGAUUGUUCUGCAGUCUAACUGGGUUAGAUGGGUGCACAUUUCAGACCCCUCCCAAGCAAACCAAAUCCUUUAAAGGGAGAGAGGCAGGUGUAGACAGGACAGGGUUAUUUUAUUUCAUAUGAAGAUGCUGAGCUCCUGAUGAGUUACAUUUUUAUUUCUUUUUGAAUGCUAAAAAUGACUGAUGGCCACAGUCCUGGCAGUGACCCUGGCUUGGCCCUAGUGGCUUGGGCCUCAGUUGUACUCCAGGUCUUGUCCUUGCCAGCCUGUCCUGAAACCCUCACUGAGCUUAGCGGUGUGCUCACAUCUCCUGGGAAUGUUCUGCCCCUGGCCGAGCUCUGCAUCUGGCUAACUUCUCCAGCAGGCGCAGUAGCAGAGGCCCACCACGCUGUUCAAGGCACCUGAUGUUUCAUUAAUCAAAAAUGUUUUAAUUUCUUUUAAACUUAGAAAAACGUGAAUAGAAUAAGUGAAUUCAUAUAAUAAUGAAUUAAGUUGCAUUAUAUGUCUUUAUGUCAUUGUGUUUGUAAAAUAUAAUUUUUAAUACUUUCUAUGAAAGAGAAGGCCACAAAGGCAAAAGCACCCAGGGCCCCCAAGUCAUGAUGCUACCCUGCCCUGCAGAAUGCCAGCAAUGAAGUAUUCCUUGGGCAAAUAAAGUCUGGGAACUCAAGGGCCACACCUCCCCUGGGAGAGUCAUAUCCUACGCUGGCAUGUCAAAGAGCCAGAGCCGUGCUGCAGUGGGAAAAUCUGUUUCACUUCCUUUAAGCCAACUAUUCCCAAACGUAUUUGCACACAGAACACUUGCAGAAACACCGACCUAAACUUUACUUGUUUUAUUUCUCUUUUCAGCCUAGAUAAUUUCUCAAAACUUAAGUAGUACAACCUUGUAUUUAUUUUGUAAAUGUCCCUUGGGAAAUUUAUAGUUAUAGAUGCCUAUUUUUUAAAAGAAGCAAGAUCUCAAAUUAAUAACCUAAACUUCCACUUUAAGGAAUUAGAAAACCAAGAGCAAACUAAACUCCAAGCAAGCAGAAGGAAGGAAAUAAUAAAAACUGGAACCGAAACACAUGAAAGAUAGAAUAGAAAGAUGAUAGAGAAAAUCGAAGAAACCAAAAGUGGGUUCUUUCAAAAGAUCAACAAGAUUGAUAACACUCACAAAGAAAAAUGAAGACUCAAAUGACUUAAACCAGGAAUGAAAAAGUAGACAUUACUACCUACCUCAUAAAAUAAAACAGAUUAUAAAUAAAACAGAGUAUGAGGAAAUACUAUGCACAUUGUAUGUCAACAAAUGAUAUAGCCUAGAUGAAAUGGGAAAAUUCCUGGAAGACACAAACUACAGAAACUGACUCAAGAAUACAUUGAAAAUCUAAAUUGACUUAUAACAAGUAGAGAGAUUAAUUUCUAGUUUUAAAAAGUUCCCACAAAGAAAAGCCCAGGCCCAAAUGGAUUCACUGGUGAAUUCUACUAAAUGUUUAAAGAAGAAUAAAUACCAAUUCUUCACAGACUUUUUCAUAACCUAAAAAGAGCAUCUGCAAAAAAUAAAUAAAUAAAUAAAUAAAUAAAUAAAUAAAUAAAUAAAUAAAUAAAAAUAAUAAUAAAAGCCCACAAUUAACAUGAUACUUAAUGGUGAAAGAAUGAAUGUUUUCCCUCCAAGAUCAGAAAUAAGACAAAGAUAUUCAUUCUCACUACUCCCAUUUAACAUUGUACUGGAGGUUCUAGCCAGCGCAAUUAAGCAAGAGAAAGAAAAAAGUAUCCAGAUUGGAAAAGUAGAUCUAUUUGCAGAAGCCAUGGCCUGGUAUAUAGGAAAUCCUAAGGAAUGACUCACACACAUACUCAAAACCAUCAGAAUUAACAAAUAAGUUCAACGAAGUUGUAAGAUACAAGAUCAAUCUUGUAUCUUCCAUCAAGAUAUAAGAUGUAAGAUACAAAAUCAAUUCUAUUUCUAUACAUUAGCGAUGUACUAUCCAGAAAUAAAAUUUUAAAAACAAUUCCUUUUAGAUUGGAAUCAAAAAGAACAAAACACUUUGGUAUAAAGUCAACAACAGAGGUGCAAGAAUUCUACACUAAGGACUACAAAACAUGUUGAUGGAAAUUAAGGAAGACUGAAAUAGAUGAAAAUAGUCUUCCAUGAUCAUGAAUUGAAAGAGUUAAUAUUGAUAAAUGGCAAUACUCCCCAAAGUGAUCUAUGGAUUCAACACAAGCACUAACAAAAUCCCGGCUGUAAUCAAUCUAAGCAAUGGAAGAUUAUUCAGCCAUAAAAACGAAGGACUGAUCUGUGCUACAACAUGGGUGCACCUUGAAAACAUUCUGCUAAGUGAAAGAAUCCAGUCAUAUUGUAUGAUUUCACUUAUAUGCAAUAUUGAGAAUAGCCAAAUCAAUAGAAACAGCAGAUCAGUUCUUCCUGGGACCAAGGGAGGGGAGAAUGAAGAGAGACUAGUAAUGAUUACAGAUUUUUGAGGGUUGGGUUAUGAAGAAGUUUUGAAAUUAGUUAGUGGUGAUGGUUGCACUACUCUCUGAACAUACUAAAAGCCACUGAACUGUAGACUUUAAAAAAGGUAAAUUUUAUGAUAUGUGAAUUAUAUCUUAAUAAAGCUGUUUUUUUUUUAAUGUC